rnacentral:rRNA from 1 species
AAUGGGGGAAACCCUGAUGCAGCAACGCCGCGUGAGGUAUGAAGGCCUUUGGGUGUGUGAAGCCUCUGUCCUAGGGGAAGAAAAAAAUGACGGUACCCGAGGAGGAAGCCCCGGCUAACUACGUGCCAGCAGCCGCGGUAAUACGUAGGGGGCAAGCGUUAUCCGGAAUUAUUGGGCGUAAAGAGUGCGUAGGUGGUCUACUAAGCGCGAGGUGAAAGGCAAUGGCUCAACCAUUGUUAGCCUUGUGAACUGGCAGACUUGAGUGCAAGAGAGGAAAGCGGAAUUCCUAGUGUAGCGGUGAAAUGCGCAGAUAUUAGGAGGAACACCGGCGGCGAAGGCGGCUUUCUGGAUUGUAACUGACACUGAGGCACGAAAGCGUGGGUAGCAAACAGGAUUAGAUACCCUGGUAGUCCACGCCGUAAACGAUGAGCACUAGGUGUCGGGACAUGAGUCUCGGUGCCGCAGUUAACGCAAUAAGUGCUCCGCCUGGGGAGUACGCACGCAAGUGUAAAACUCAAAGGAAUUGACGGGGACCGCACAAGCAGCGGAGCAUGUGGU